rnacentral:lncRNA from 1 species
AUUGUUGGGGUGUUACUAAAACGCGAAGCGAAACGGCGGAACGCGAAACUCCUAAAACGCGAAACAGUGGUGCGAAACGGUCCCAAAAAUUUUCGGGACCGUUUCGCAGUUUAGGCGCUAGAGGUCUUACUAAAAUGCGAAACCGUAGACGCGAAACAGUCGACGUCAGUCGUCAGUGUAUUGUUAAAAGUAGUCGUCAAAGUGUCGAACUAGAAGCUAAUAAAAAAUUGAAACCUUCUAGGUUAUCACUUCUCAGCUUACAGUAAGGGCACACUGCCAAUGUGUGUAGUUGCAUGUAGAGGUCAUUCAUGGUCCUGUUAAAACACAAAGAUGCCCUUAGGCCAUUGGACCCGCGAAACGGUCCCCAAUUGUUGGGACCGUUUCGCACCACUGUUUCGCGUUUUAGGAGUUUCGCGUUCCGCCGUUUCGCUUCGCGUUUUAGUAACACCCCGAUUGUUGCACAGUUUACCGUCGGUCAACGUAA